GAUGAACGCUGGCGGCGUGCUUAACACAUGCAAGUCGAACGGUGAACGAGGGAGCUUGCUCCCUCCGGAUCAGUGGCGAACGGGUGAGUAACACGUGAGCAAUCUGCCCUGGACUCUGGGAUAAGCGUUGGAAACGACGUCUAAUACCGGAUACGAGACGCGAAGGCAUCUUCAGCGUCUGGAAAGAACUUCGGUCCAGGAUGAGCUCGCGGCCUAUCAGGUAGUUGGUGAGGUAACGGCUCACCAAGCCUACGACGGGUAGCCGGCCUGAGAGGGUGACCGGCCACACGGGGACUGAGACACGGCCCAGACUCCUACGGGAGGCAGCAGUGGGGAAUAUUGCACAAUGGGCGCAAGCCUGAUGCAGCAACGCCGCGUGAGGGACGACGGCCUUCGGGUUGUAAACCUCUUUUAGCAGGGAAGAAGCGAAAGUGACGGUACCUGCGGAAAAAGCACCGGCUAACUACGUGCCAGCAGCCGCAGUAACAC
rnacentral:rRNA from 1 species